ACCCGCUGAACUUAAGCAUAUCAAUAAGCGGAGGAAAAGAAACCAACAGGGAUUGCCCUAGUAACGGCGAGUGAAGCGGCAACAGCUCAAAUUUGAAAUCUGGCUUCGGCCCGAGUUGUAAUUUGUAGAGGAUGCUUUUGGUGAGGUGCCUUCUGAGUUCCCUGGAACGGGACGCCAUAGAGGGUGAGAGCCCCGUAUAGUCGGACACCGAACCUUUGUAAAGCUCCUUCGACGAGUCGAGUAGUUUGGGAAUGCUGCUCAAAAUGGGAGGUAUAUCUCUUCUAAAGCUAAAUAUAGGCCAGAGACCGAUAGCGCACAAGUAGAGUGAUCGAAAGAUGAAAAGCACUUUGAAAAGAGGGUUAAAUAGCACGUGAAAUUGUUGAAAGGGAAGCGCUUGUGACCAGACUUGUGCCGGGUUGAUCAUCCAGUGUUCUCACUGGUGCACUCUGCCCGGCUCAGGCCAGCGUCGGUUUUCGUAGGGGGAUAAAAGCUUCGGGAACGUGGCUCCUCCGGGAGUGUUAUAGCCCGUUGCUUAAUACCCCUACGGGGACCGAGGUUCGCGCUCUGCAAGGACGCUGGCAUAAUGGUCACCAGCGACCCGUCUUGAAACACGG
rnacentral:rRNA from 1 species